rnacentral:ncRNA from 2 species
CUGCUAACGCGGGGGUCCUGCGUCGUGCAUCGCAAUCCACAAAACGGAUUGCCCGCGCGGCGUGGGUGAGAAAUACCCUUUGAACCUGAUCUGGAUAAUGCCAGCGCAGGGAAGCGUUCGGGUUUCACCG